GACGAACGCUGGCGGCGUGCUUAACACAUGCAAGUCGAACGGAGAGGCCCUGCUUUUGUGGGGUGCUCGAGUGGCGAACGGGUGAGUAACACGUGAGUAACCUGCCCUUGACUUUGGGAUAACUUCAGGAAACUGGGGCUAAUACCGGAUAGGAGCUCCUGAUGCAUGGUGUGGGGUGGAAAGUUUCGGCGGUUGGGGAUGGACUCGCGGCUUAUCAGCUUGGUGGUGGGGUUGUGGCUUACGAAGGCGUUGAAGGGGAGCCGGCCUGAGAGGGUGACCGGCCACAUUGGGACUGAGAUACGGCCCAGACUCCUACGGGAGGCAGCAGUGGGGAAUAUUGCACAAUGGGCGGAAGCCUGAUUCAGCAACGCCGCGUGCGGGAUGACGGCCUUCGGGUUGUAAACCGCUUUCGCCUGUGACGAAGCGGGAGUGACGGUAAUGGGUAAAGAAGCACCGGCUAACUACGUG
rnacentral:rRNA from 1 species